AUGAAGUCUGUGCUCCAUUGGGUUUUCCAUGUUGCUAUUUUAAAAGGUGUCCAGGGUGAGGUGCAGCUGGUGGAGUCUGGGGGAGACCUGGUGAAGCCUGGGUUGCCCCUGAGACUCUCCUGUGUAGCCUCUGGAUUCACAUUCAGUAGUUACUGGAUAAGCUGGGUCCACCAGGCUCCAGGGAAAGGGCUUCAGUGGGUCUCAGUAAUGAACAAAUAUGGAAGUACCACAUACCAUGCAGAUGCUGUGAAGGGCCAAUUUACCAUCUUCAGAGACAAUGCCAAGAACACACUGUAUCUGCAGAUGAACAGCCUGAGAGCUGAGGACAUGGAUGUAUAUUACUGUGUACACACCGUGAGGGGACCACAGCAUGAGCUCAGACACAAACCUCUCUUACCACGCUAUCUUGAUGACAAAGGCUUUAUAAUAGAGAUUCUCUGCAAACAUUGUUAUGCCCUGCAGCUGUAG